GCCGAUUCCUCUCGAAGGGAGCCCGGAAAGGAACUAGAUCCUUCCGAGUCUCCUCCGUUAAUUUUUCGUAUAACGACGAACCGCGUGGAUGAUCCGACAGAAAACGCGCACUUAGGGAAGCCCGAUGAGACUGCUCGAGGAUCUCCGUCAAGAGAGAUAGGCUUCCUCGAUCGAGUUUCAUAGGCUGACGCGGGGUUUGUUUAGCAUCCUUAUGAUGGUUCGUUAUCGGCCCUCUCGUCUCGAGGGCUGAUAUCACGGGGUUAUCGUACAGAGGAUGUCACAAGACUAGUCUAUGCAAGCGCAAGACCAAGACCAUGGUGGGCCCGGUCUUGUUCUUGAUCUUGCUUUUUCUGAGACUGAGAUCAAGAUGCAUUGAAAUCAUCGUCUAGUUUGUAAUGAGAUAACCGAAACGCUGAAAGUAGACUGCUCUUUUAAAUUUUUAUCGUCUCGAGCUGUUAUUAGGAUAGAGUAUAGCGUAGUACAGUGUAUCGAUACUUGUUGGAAAUUAACUCGUAACGAUACUCGGUUAUCACUCGUUUUCGUGUCCCACUCGGCGAAAGGGCCGAUGCGAAUCGAGGUUAAUUGAAUCGAAUGGCUGUUUGGGAAUCGUCGCGAGCUUCUACUAUCGCAAACGAAGUAUAGGCAACUGUAUUAAUAGCUUACGAAGAAACGCCCUCUCGAGGGUAAUUAUUGGUGAACACGCGCCCGAGCUUUGCAAGCUGCACAACAGGCCAUUCCCUCGCUGGCGGAAAUAGAUUUAUUGUCACCUCUGAAAACGGUUUGUUUUUACCCGCGAAUGCCAUCACGGCAGUUCUGGGACUCCUCCAGAUAAGAAUUGAAUCGAUGACACUUUUCAAUCUCUUUUACAUGCCUUUUCCAUUUCCUUGCAGGCAAGGAUUUGUCUAAACGAAAAUUCGCCGACCAUAACAAAAAGGAAAAUAUUCCACCAAUGAAGUAUAUCGUUAAUCCGGGGAACAAUUAUUUCACUCGAACACGAAGAAAUUCAUAAUUCAGGAUUCACGUUUGCGGAUUUACCGAAUCCGAAGUAUAGGAAGAACAGGAAACGAUGGAAUUUGCCGGAAUUCCUUGCCACGGGCUGUCAGAGUCGCCGAGAGCACUGAUCGCAGAGAUAUAUAUACAUCGACCUGAGUGUGACCCACACGUGGCAUUGACGAGACAUACAUCAGAGGUCGGGACCGAACCAACGAGAUUAACCUUAAUAUCAAAAGCUUACCUACACGUAGGAAACCUUAGAGUAUCAUUUCAUGCAGUGAAGUUUAGAAAAAUCUAUACGGUGCAUUUUACACCCUGGAAGGACACAACGAGAAUGUAUGCUCGUUUAUCUCAAGCAAUAAAACUCAAGGCAAGUGUCGAAUAAAACGAUCCGCAUUUUAUUAUUGCCGGUAUAGAUGUGUACAACACAAGUGCAGUUCAUGGGUCAUUAUCGCGCUCUGUCGUGCGAUUGGUAAGUGAUAACUAGAAUUCUAGCUCACGUCGGAGAUCUCUGGCAAGAAAUGUGCAUCGUGCUGCACUAGCGAUAGGGAAAUAAAAAUAAAGAUGCCACGUCAGGCCGAGCGUGACCAUCUCCGCUUCCGGAUUGAAAUGUGCUUACAGAGAUAGAAGGAUCGGCUGCAUUGGGAGGGCCCGAGACGUGGACCUUCGGAACGCCGAAGCCUUCAACCUGACCUUGACCGUGGCCAUGAAGAGGACCAUGUGCGCUGCCAUGGUGUCCUUGGGCCGUCGUGGAAUCAUCGCUGUCACUGCUGGGAACCUGCUCCGACCCUACUCCUCCACGGGGCCUGAAAAAGAGGACGCGAUAAUCCCAAUGGAUGUCCCCUGGAUCGGCGCAUGAUCUCGCGCAUGCCGCACCUGUGGUGAGUUGUGUCGUAGCUGGCCGUCCAGUAGAGGGGCGCCACUGUCCCGUCUCGACGAUCACAGGGAUGGCAUUCAAACUAGCCCCGAGUACCGCGAGAUACCACCCGGGUCCUCAUUCCCACACGUCCCGCUCCACGAUAAGGAGCCCACCCGACUUCCCGCGCGAUUUCCUUGCCGCAAAUCCUGCGCAGUCAAUCGAUAGACCUCGGAAGCUGCUCUCGAGAUGCCGUAAGCUCCAAUCGGCCCGGAUGCCCAAGUGAUGAAUCUUCCUCUCCCCGUCUCUUUAAACCGUCCCUGCAGCUUCCUUAUAUUUCAGGAUCCUCCCCCCUGGACUCGGGACCUCGAGAGAUUCCAAGAUUCUGAGUCGGCUUCGAUCUCGAAAUACCUCCGGUAACUGGAACGACGUCUUCGACGGUUUCUCCGAAGAGCACUCUUUUGGAAUCUUCCUCGUGGGCGAAAAAAAAUCCCCAGCAAUUGGGUCGAGAUGUCAACCUCGAGAGACCGUACCGAGAUGCAGCCGCCAGGUGGUGGUCGGCGACCUGCGGCUGGACCUCGCGGUUCCGCUGCCGAUGGUGGUACUGCUGGGGCUCAGCCUGCUGCUCCUGCUCCUGCUCCUACUCCUCUCGAGGCGUGUUUCGAAGGCUCCUUUCUCUUCCUGCCUCCGACACUCCUCCCGACGAGGUCACGCGGUUUCUCACGGGGUCUUCCGGAGGUACCCUCCCAGGCUCACCCCUUUUACUUGCGGAAAAUACGGCAAUGCGACGCGCGACAACGCGGUGCGGCCUACGUCUCCCGGUGCGCUCCUCUUCCCGUCUCUCGCGGACGGCGCUCUCGCCAUCCGCGCACCCUCUCUCGGCCAAUCGCGUCUGCGCCCUGCCUCUGGAGCCGGCGAGCUCACCUAUUGACCGACUCCGACUCCGAGCCGAUCCGCGUCGAUCCCGACGAGAGACUCGCGCAUACUCCGGCACGCUCCGGCGCACUCGAUGAGCUUAACCUCCACGCCUCCUGCCCGAUCAGCUGAUCACCCUCUCCGGAUGCGCGCUUGAAUGGAGCCCCAGCAGGACUUUCUUUAAAAAUGUCACGUUUCGAAAAUAUCUUUCAUUUAUACGACAUUCCAUUAUCAUAAUUAUAAGUCGAAUUUUCUAUAGAUAAAUGUUCUAACGAGGUGUCCGUUCUCCUGCAGGAAUUAAGGCAGGGGCAGAACGCGGCGAUCAGCUGAUCGGCCUUAUUGGACGCGCACCUGAAUGGAGGCUUAGCAGGCCGUCACUUUAAGAGAUUUCUUAAAAACUUCCUAUUUUUAACGUUCCCAUGAUUCACGACUGUCUAUCCUCAGAAUUAAAGUUGGAAUUUCCUAAAGAGGUGUCCGUUGUCCCGCUGAAAUUGAGGCAGCGAUUUAAUGCGGCGAUCAGCUGAUCGCCCGACCUUGAAUGGAGAUGCCGAGGAAGGAACGACACGUGUACUUGCACGUGCACGUAGUAGAGACGUUUAUCCGCGAUAGAGAUAUCUAGCUUGAAUUAAUCUUGGAAAUUCGAAGCCAUUAUGAGUUUUCCCGCGAUAUUUCCCCGUGGAGGACACGCUUUGCCCUGCAGGUGAGACGGCAGGUUCCGCUUGAUGCCGGUGGGUCCAAUCUUCGUUGAUGCAGGAUGCACGAGAAUAACGGACUUAAUUGAUGAAGUCAUGGCAGAAAUUACUCCUCAGGGUUCGGCAGCACGUGCUGCCGAGGGUACCCGAUGAAUGGCACUUAUUAAAACCUAUCUUCUUUUCCUU
rnacentral:lncRNA from 1 species